rnacentral:rRNA from 1 species
UACGUAGGUGGCAAGCGUUGUCCGGAUUUACUGGGCGUAAAGGGCGCGUAGGCGGCUUUGCAAGUGACGGGUGAAAUCCCUCGGCUUAACCGAGGAACUGCCUGUCAGACUGCAUGGCUUGAGACCGGGAGAGGUGAGUGGAAUUCCCAGUGUAGCGGUGAAAUGCGUAGAUAUUGGGAGGAACACCAGUGGCGAAGGCGGCUCACUGGACCGGUACUGACGCUGAGGCGCGAAAGCGUGGGUAGCAAACAGG